rnacentral:rRNA from 1 species
GACGAACGCUGGCGGCGUGCUUAACACAUGCGAGUCGAGCGGUAAGGCCCUUUCGGGGGUACACGAGCGGCGAACGGGUGAGUAACACGUGGGUGACCUGCCCUUAGCUCUGGGAUAAGCCUGGGAAACUGGGUCUAAUACCGGAUAUGACUCCAUGACGCAUGUUGUGGGGUGGAAAGCCUUGUGCGGCUAGGGAUGGGCCCGCGGCCUAUCAGCUUGUUGGUGGGGUGAUGGCCUACCAAGGCGACGACGGGUAGCCGGCCUGAGAGGGCGACCGGCCGCACUGGGACUGAGACACGGCCCAGACUCCUACGGGAGGCAGCAGUGGGGAAUCUUGCGCAAUGGGCGAAAGCCUGACGCAGCGACGCCGCGUGGGGA